rnacentral:rRNA from 1 species
UGCGGAAUUUUAGAUAAUGGAGGGAACUCUGAUCUAGCGACGCCGCGUGCAGGAAGAAGGUCUUCGGAUUGUAAACUGCUGUGGUAAGGGAAAAAUGCUAUGUAGAGUGGAAAGCUACAUAGAGGGACGGUACCUUACUAGAAAGCCCCGGCUAACUACGUGCCAGCAGCCGCGGUAAUACGUAGGGGGCGAGCGUUACCCGGAAUCACUGGGCGUAAAGGGAGCGUAGGUGGCCUAACAUGUCAACUGUGAAAACCCGGAGCUCAACUCCGGACUUGCAGUUGAAACUGGUAGGCUUGAGGACGGUAGAGGAAGACGGAACUGCCAGUGUAGGGGUAAAAUCCUUAGAUAUUGGCAGGAACGCCGGUGACGAAGGUGGUUUUCUGGGCCGGUUCUGACACUGAGGCUCGAAAGCCAGGGGAGCGAACGGG